rfam:Triticum aestivum genome assembly, contig: Triticum_aestivum_CS42_TGACv1_scaffold_660317_T_7AS-0.182713_5DL-0.122274
CCGCUCGACGAUGAUGACAUGGUCUCCUACAUCCUCGCCGGACUAGACUACGACUACAUCUCGUUUGUCUCGUCCAUCUGCGCCGCGAGGACUGAACCAAUCAAGGUAGCUGAACUUUACUCUUAGUUGAUCGAUUUUGAAA